AGAAGCUUCAUUUAAAAUUAAAUUAAAAUGCAGAGCUCCCUAGACCGGUGGCCAGGACCUGGGCAGUGUGAGUGCCACUGAAAAUCAGCUCACGUGCUGCCUUCGGUUGCCUACCCCUGCACUAGACUGUGGCUAGUCAGAGGACAGACUGCAAUGAGCAUUAUUCUGGAAAGCAGGCAGGUUGGCAGUUGGAGAACUGUUGUGGGAAGCAGAAAAUUCAAAAUGCCUGAAGAAGCAUAUUGUAGCUACCAAAGAAGGUUGGAUUUGCAUUGAAUUGUCUGGGUGACUUGCAGCAGCUGUUGGAACAGGACUCCUUGAUUCAGUAACUGCUAAGAAAGGCUGUUUUGUACUGUUUAAACACAGAAUUUGUGCUCCAGCAUCAACUAUUUCAUACUACAGAGUCCCUGACUUCACUGGGUGUUUUGCCAGUGUCAAAGAGCAGUAAUUAUCAAUAAUAUCAGUAAAUAUCAGUAAUUGUCAGAUUUCUUCCUCCAUUAAUUUUUGCCUAAAUCAGUAAUGGACCCAAUAUAAAUACAGUCUUGGACUGGUGUUUAAUAGUAUACUGCUGCUCCAGAUGCACAGAAAAUCAUAGUUUUGUGGAUCUUAAAAUAGCAACUAUUUUUAAAUUAUAAGAAAUAACUUGUUAGGCAAGUAAUAUCCUCUCUAUAAAAUAUCUGGAGGCCUUCCUCUCUCAGACUAUUUUUUUUUAUUUGUCAGAUUUUGAUCUUAAGAGUUUGACAGUGUCCCUUUCACAUUACUUUAAUUAAAUAUAUUUAAAAUCGGUUAAGUUUAAGUAUAGCAAAACUUGGGGUGUUUAGAAUUGUUGUUUGUAAAAAGUCGGAAGCACUGUCUGUGUUAAGUUUGUUGUUUUCAAUAUUGUGGAGGUUUUACAGAAAAUAUUAAACUUGGUCUGUCUUCUAUCAGAACUUUACUGAUGUUGGCUCUCUGUUUUCUAGAUAAAACUGUAUUGCAUCUUAUUUUGCCAUGGAUACUCAUAAUAAAAGUGUUAUCAUAAUAGUA